GGGUUGUGAGGUUAAGCGACUAAGCGUACACGGUGGAUGCCCUGGCAGUCAGAGGCGAUGAAGGACGUGCUAAUCUGCGAUAAGCGUCGGUAAGGUGAUAUGAACCGUUAUAACCGGCGAUUUCCGAAUGGGGAAACCCAGUGUGAUUCGUCACACUAUCAUUAACUGAAUCCAUAGGUUAAUGAGGCGAACCGGGGGAACUGAAACAUCUAAGUACCCCGAGGAAAAGAAAUCAACCGAGAUUCCCCCAGUAGCGGCGAGCGAACGGGGAGCAGCCCAGAGCCUGAAUCAGUGUGUGUGUUAGUGGAAGCGUCUGGAAAGGCGCGCGAUACAGGGUGACAGCCCCGUACACAAAAAUGCACAUACUGUGAGCUCGAUGAGUAGGGCGGGACACGUGGUAUCCUGUCUGAAUAUGGGGGGACCAUCCUCCAAGGCUAAAUACUCCUGACUGACCGAUAGUGAACCAGUACCGUGAGGGAAAGGCGAAAAGAACCCCGGCGAGGGGAGUGAAAAAGAACCUGAAACCGUGUACGUACAAGCAGUGGGAGCCUCUUUAUGGGGUGACUGCGUACCUUUUGUAUAAUGGGUCAGCGACUUAUAUUCUGUAGCAAGGUUAACCGAAUAGGGGAGCCGAAGGGAAACCGAGUCUUAACUGGGCGUUAAGUUGCAGGGUAUAGACCCGAAACCCGGUGAUCUAGCCAUGGGCAGGUUGAAGGUUGGGUAACACUAACUGGAGGACCGAACCGACUAAUGUUGAAAAAUUAGCGGAUGACUUGUGGCUGGGGGUGAAAGGCCAAUCAAACCGGGAGAUAGCUGGUUCUCCCCGAAAGCUAUUUAGGUAGCGCCUCGUGAAUUCAUCUCCGGGGGUAGAGCACUGUUUCGGCAAGGGGGUCAUCCCGACUUACCAACCCGAUGCAAACUGCGAAUACCGGAGAAUGUUAUCACGGGAGACACACGGCGGGUGCUAACGUCCGUCGUGAAGAGGGAAACAACCCAGACCGCCAGCUAAGGUCCCAAAGUCAUGGUUAAGUGGGAAACGAUGUGGGAAGGCCCAGACAGCCAGGAUGUUGGCUUAGAAGCAGCCAUCAUUUAAAGAAAGCGUAAUAGCUCACUGGUCGAGUCGGCCUGCGCGGAAGAUGUAACGGGGCUAAACCAUGCACCGAAGCUGCGGCAGCGACACUAUGUGUUGUUGGGUAGGGGAGCGUUCUGUAAGCCUGUGAAGGUGUACUGUGAGGUAUGCUGGAGGUAUCAGAAGUGCGAAUGCUGACAUAAGUAACGAUAAAGCGGGUGAAAAGCCCGCUCGCCGGAAGACCAAGGGUUCCUGUCCAACGUUAAUCGGGGCAGGGUGAGUCGACCCCUAAGGCGAGGCCGAAAGGCGUAGUCGAUGGGAAACAGGUUAAUAUUCCUGUACUUGGUGUUACUGCGAAGGGGGGACGGAGAAGGCUAUGUUGGCCGGGCGACGGUUGUCCCGGUUUAAGCGUGUAGGCUGGUUUUCCAGGCAAAUCCGGAAAAUCAAGGCUGAGGCGUGAUGACGAGGCACUACGGUGCUGAAGCAACAAAUGCCCUGCUUCCAGGAAAAGCCUCUAAGCAUCAGGUAACAUCAAAUCGUACCCCAAACCGACACAGGUGGUCAGGUAGAGAAUACCAAGGCGCUUGAGAGAACUCGGGUGAAGGAACUAGGCAAAAUGGUGCCGUAACUUCGGGAGAAGGCACGCUGAUAUGUAGGUGAAGCGACUUGCUCGUGGAGCUGAAAUCAGUCGAAGAUACCAGCUGGCUGCAACUGUUUAUUAAAAACACAGCACUGUGCAAACACGAAAGUGGACGUAUACGGUGUGACGCCUGCCCGGUGCCGGAAGGUUAAUUGAUGGGGUUAGCGCAAGCGAAGCUCUUGAUCGAAGCCCCGGUAAACGGCGGCCGUAACUAUAACGGUCCUAAGGUAGCGAAAUUCCUUGUCGGGUAAGUUCCGACCUGCACGAAUGGCGUAAUGAUGGCCAGGCUGUCUCCACCCGAGACUCAGUGAAAUUGAACUCGCUGUGAAGAUGCAGUGUACCCGCGGCAAGACGGAAAGACCCCGUGAACCUUUACUAUAGCUUGACACUGAACAUUGAGCCUUGAUGUGUAGGAUAGGUGGGAGGCUUUGAAGUGUGGACGCCAGUCUGCAUGGAGCCGACCUUGAAAUACCACCCUUUAAUGUUUGAUGUUCUAACGUUGGCCCCUGAUCGGGGUUGCGGACAGUGUCUGGUGGGUAGUUUGACUGGGGCGGUCUCCUCCUAAAGAGUAACGGAGGAGCACGAAGGUUGGCUAAUCCUGGUCGGACAUCAGGAGGUUAGUGCAAUGGCAUAAGCCAGCUUGACUGCGAGCGUGACGGCGCGAGCAGGUGCGAAAGCAGGUCAUAGUGAUCCGGUGGUUCUGAAUGGAAGGGCCAUCGCUCAACGGAUAAAAGGUACUCCGGGGAUAACAGGCUGAUACCGCCCAAGAGUUCAUAUCGACGGCGGUGUUUGGCACCUCGAUGUCGGCUCAUCACAUCCUGGGGCUGAAGUAGGUCCCAAGGGUAUGGCUGUUCGCCAUUUAAAGUGGUACGCGAGCUGGGUUUAGAACGUCGUGAGACAGUUCGGUCCCUAUCUGCCGUGGGCGCUGGAGAACUGAGGGGGGCUGCUCCUAGUACGAGAGGACCGGAGUGGACGCAUCACUGGUGUUCGGGUUGUCAUGCCAAUGGCACUGCCCGGUAGCUAAAUGCGGAAGAGAUAAGUGCUGAAAGCAUCUAAGCACGAAACUUGCCCCGAGAUGAGUUCUCCCUGACUCCCUGAGAGUCCUGAAGGAACGUUGAAGACGACGACGUUGAUAGGCCGGGUGUGUAAGCGCAGCGAUGCGUUGAGCUAACCGGUACUAAUGAACCGUGAGGCUUAACCUUACAACGCCGAAGGUGUUU
rnacentral:rRNA from 1 species